UCGGUUCUAUGAAACACCAAACCUAGAAAACUCUCAUACUAAUCUUCGAUCUGAAUUUCAACAACGAAAUACUGCUUAGAUCGAGCUUUGUCGUUGCUGUUUAUCAAGUUUGUACCGCAGAUUCCGAAUUAUAGAAACAGUUCAAGUUCGUUGGAUAAGACAGAUUCACAGAGGAAGCAUUCUUCUCAUUGGUUACAGAUUGUUCCAAAGGAUCUUUCUGCAACAGUCUAGAUAAUCUGUUCAGGUAAAAUCUCUAAAAUUGUAGCUUCCAUUUGUUUCAUACCCAAAAGAUUAGAGGGACA